GCGCCUGUAGCUCAGCUGGAUAGAGCGCUAGCCUCCGGAGCUAGAGGUCACAAGUUCAAAUCUUGUCAGGCGCA
rnacentral:tRNA from 2 species